rnacentral:lncRNA from 10 species
AAACAGAGCAAAUCUCACAUUCCUCCCGUUUAGUCCCAAAACACUUCUAGGGAAAUUCUGUCACAUGACAGCCAAGGAUACCCAAAUUUAGAGCCCUGCAUGCUGAAUGGGGACACAUGAUCACUUUAAAAAGAAUGAGACUGGGAGCUAUUAUUUCUUCCAGAUGGAUAUGAAGUCAUUUUCAAAGAAAUAAAGGCAUUGAUUUAUUUGGGAUCUUAUCAACAGCAGUUCAAAGUGUGCAGUAUCAAGGAGAAGGAAGAGGCUUAGUCUUCUAGGAAAUGAUGAUGGACUCGGUAUGGGAAUUGAGACGAUUUUCUACAUAGCCGUGAAUUAAUGAAACUUAAGCUUAGGUGGGGGGCCUCACUUGCACAGGCCCCCGCUAGUGCUGGGGGUUAGUUGCUGGUAGGAAAGGGAUAGCAGGUUACAAUCAGGAACUGUUUCUCUGUAAGCAUUUCUGGUAAAGUACUUAAUCUCAGAAGAAAAGGAUGUAGAUCUCUGUGGCUCCAGUCAUUUGUUGUGAUUUAUUUCCUCUUUCCAUAUAUUUAUUUUCAUACCAUCUUUUAUGUUCAGAACUGUAUGUUCUUUUCCUUAAAGAGAGCGCCUAAAAUUGUAUAAGCUUCAGGCCUCACAUAAAAUCUGGCUCCACCAUUAUUUAAGAAUGAAUAAUUUUAAUUUCAAUUUAUUGCCUACUCUCAGGUCCUCAUUUCCUUAAUUGGUGGCUCCCAUAUUACAUUAAAACAUUUCCUUCAUUCAGCCAAGCUAUGGAUUGAACAUUUAGAGGUGUGUGUGUGUGUGUAUGUGUGUGUGUGUGUUGGCAGGGAAUCAGUGAUAUUAGGGCUUUGAAGGGAGGGCUUUCUCUUUCUACUAGAAAAUAGACUGUUAUAUUUUUUCCUUACUAAAACAUUGACAUGUCCUAAACUGGCAGUAUGUUUGUGGUUCUUCAAAGUUAUGGACACAGACCGAUACUUCAAAGAAACCACCACCUCUACCCACCCUGUCCCAGGAAUUUGCCAGACCAAGAGAUGCUGUUAGAAAGAGCUUGUCACUGAAUCUCCUCUAAGGAUAUAGUUGAGCACGUUACUCAACAUUUCACCCUGUCUUUUUCCCAGGGGCUCUCCAAAGAAUUUUUCUAGUCUUCGUUCCAGGAAUGAUUGUACUUCUUUUGGGCCACUGGCCUUUUAAUCUUAUCAACUAUGUGAAUUGUAUAACCAGCCACAGUUCUCACUUUGAAUUGUUUGUUAGUAAGCCCAAAGUUAAAUCUGCAGCCAGGUCAUGCCUAGUAAUUAUGGUGUGUUUUUGUAGUCACAUUCCUGACUCCAUUUUAUUCCUUUAUUUCUAAUUAUUAUUCUUGAUAUGUUGUUACAUUUUAUAUAUCCUUUCCUGAGAGAGUAGGGAUAUGAUUUAAUAAACCAUUCAUAAAGGCUUUCUGGUUAUAGUUUUAUCAUGGGUAUCUGGAUUUGUAGCAAAAAAUCUUUGCAUACCACACCAAAAAAAAAAAAAAGAUUUUGAAAGAAGGUGACUGCCUGAGGUCAGG